UUGACAGGUAAACAAAACCACGUGGUAGUAGUGAAGCGCUGGAUAUUAACAACGAAAGCGAUUAUGCUGUUUACGCAUUCUUCAAAAAACGACGGCAGCUGAUAAAGAAGAACGUUGCACAUACCCAGGUGUGUGUCAAUACAUACACCUCAAGUCAAGUAAUUCUCAAAACAACGAGUUACUGAGAUUUGUGAAAGAGCUAAAUAGUAUUUCCUGUGUGUUUUAACCUGGCUCAGCAUGGGGCGGUAUUUCGCCAAAACUUGGAUGGUUUAAGAAGAAGAGAAAAUUCCAGGAUCACUCAUGCAUGGGCUCGAUGCUGCCGGGAAAACCACUAUUGUACAUGCUAAAACUCGGAGGGUUAUUUGCCAUUCCAACAAUUGGUUUCAAUGUGGAGACAGUUAGAUACAAGAACGUCAACAUAACAGCCUGGGAUGUAGGUGGAAGGGGUAAAAUCCGUCCCUCUGUAUCGCCACUACUGCCCAAACACCGACGCCGUACUCUUUACAUUGGUUGACAGCGACGACGAAGGGGAACGUAUUGAGGGAAUCCAAAGAUGAGCUGGGACGCUUGGUUGAGGGGCAGGGGACCUCCAGGGACGCUGUCUUCCUCGUCCUCGCCAACAAAGCAGGACUAUCUCGGGUGCAGUGACAGUACCAGGGUUUUGCCCCGAGCAGUGGGAUUUCCCGAGGAUACUGAGAAAACACAUAAAGCGACAGUCAUGGCGUGCAGUGCUAUCUCUGGUGAGGGUCUUUAUGACGCCCUGCACUGGAUGUCACAGGCACUUGUCCACGGGAGGUCACUGAAACGCCCGGAUGCUAACCCUAGUGACCCGGAAACAGAUGGGUCUUCGGGGAAGAAGACAGAAAAGUCUCCCUGGUCUCUGUCCACCUACAUGAAAGGACCACUGGAGUCCCUGAAAGCGUUCAUACCGAAGCUGGGUUGAACUCCAGCUUGUAUGAUAAUGGGCACAAUAGCUUACUGUGAUAACAGGUCGUGGUUUAUUUCCAAAUACGACUGCUGGGAACCCAGAACUGAGCUCGUCUCAACUGAACGGAACCAAUGCAGCACCGACCACAAUGUAUAUGUAUAUUACUGACUGAGUAUAACAUGGCACUUGUCAUUCGAUUUUAGCAUGAGCUGUUCAUCCUCCAGAUUACUAUAUGAGAUUCACCCCAAGAAGUGUCCACUGGUUAAUAAAGAAUAGAAAACUGUUUUGCCUCAGAAAUGAUUUCCAUACUUAAGUGAGUCUAGACAGAUUUAAGCUUGCAUGGGAGCUUAACAAGAUAUUCUUGUUUAGUUCAUGACGUAUCUGUUUUUUUCAUCACGUACACUGCAAUCAUCAUUUAUGGUUGUAUUUGAUUAUAUGCGCAUUUUAAAAUUGUUCUUGUUAUAUGAAACGGUAUAUUGACCGAUGUACCGACAUAUUGCAUCACUGUGUAAAUUACACAUAAAAGGAAUCAUUUGUUUCACAAAUUCAUUGGAUUAAAUAUCGUUGCCUGAAA